GAUAAGUAUAUUUCACAUUUAUAAUUUUGGUACUCAAAUGUAGCAUCUAUCGUGUUAUAUUCGUCCAUUCUUGCCAUGAUUGAUUGAAUAUUGCUUGAUAAUCAUAAAAAGGAUCAUUUACUAGUCUUUUGGUCUAUCUUGCAGAAAUGUGCGCAAAGGCACCAAUAAUCGUCAAGAUUCUGUCUAGGUGGUUAUCGAGAAGAGUGAAGAAAAGAAGAGAAGGAAGAAGAGACUUGUGUGAGAUGAAAAGAAGUAACCAGGGGGCUAGCUAAAGAAGUGAGAGGACCUUCUUGUGAAGAAAGAAGAGAAGGAGGAGGGCUAAUGUGUAAAGUUUGCAGAUCAGGGAGGGGAUCAAAAUCCCUAGAUCGCCUCCAUUCCCCAUCGGGCCUGGCACAUCUCAUCUCUCUCCCUCUUCCCUUCUUCUCCACCACCGGCCGCCGCCACGGCCAGGCCGGCGUGGUGAUGCGCCAACCAGCACCGCCUCCAUCCAUCACCCAGCGCCACCACUACUCCUCCUACCUCCAGUGCCUACAUCCACCACACCAGCCGCUCCCUCACGCGCCGCAUCAGACACUCCGGCGCGAGUGUCUGGUCACCCGCGUGAGUGCGCCACCCAACUCCUUCGCCUCGGAUCCAUCUCGCAGACCACCAGUGUGCCACCACCAUCGCCAACUCCCUCUUCCUUCUUCUGCUCUCUGCCUGCUGCUGCUUCUUCCCACGCCCCUGCUGCUGCUUGCUCUCUCAAUCUCUGCUACUACUUCUCCUUCCCUCCGCUGCUUGCUGCUUCUCCCUCUUCUUCAACCUACUGCUGCUUGCCCUCAACCCUCUCUGCUGCUUCUCUCACCCGGAUGCCACUGCUGCUACCUGUUCCUAAGCUCGCCUGCUGCUGCUGCUGUUCUUCUUCUUAUCUCCAAGUCACUGCUGAUCCUUCCCACGCCCAAGUUGCUGCUCCUCUCUCUUGCAACACCUAUUGCUGUUCUUCUUCUUCUCCUAACCUGCUGUUCUUCUUCUUCUCCUAACCUUGCUGCUGUACUUUUCUGAACCAUCUUGCUACUGUUAUUCCCUCUCUUGAUCUCAAAUUUCUGUAAUUUUGAGAAGUUUAUUGUUCAGUACUUUGUAAUAUUCAGCAUUGAGAUGUUUAGUACAAGUAAUAUUCAAAUUUGAUAAAAGCUUGCAACCUGACAAUUGUUCAGUUUCGUACUUGUAAAAUAUAGUGCAUUUUAUUAUGUGCUCUGACUAGUUAAUGUCCAGUUGUUUGGAUAAUACUUAGUAUGUGUGAUAUGCUCUGUGAUAUAGUAAUUUUCUAGUAUAUGUGUGUGUGAUCCCCUAUGUGUAUUUUUCUUGACAUCUACUGUAACCUGUCUGUACUAGUAACUUUGCUAUAGUCUAAUUGAUGUUCAGUUGUUAGUCUUUGUGCUAGCUAUGUACCAGUGGCAUUUAUGCUUGUGAUUUUCCAGUGAACUUGUUUAAUUUCAGUUCAUAUGUUAGCUCAAGUACCUUUGCUAUAUAAAUAUAUGUGUGUGUGCUUGUGAUUUAAAUAAUCUGUUUUCUGUCCAGUAAUUUUGUUUCUUCCCUCUUUCAUACGCUUGCUAGAUAUAUAUGGUCAUGUCUUUUGACUUCCCUUGUCACUGAUGUUAGCCUUUCAGUUUCUAUAAUAAUAUGAAAAUACCAAAAAGACAAAGUGAAGAUAAUCUUCAUCCCCCUUUGUUUCUGUGUCAUUUCUUUUGUUGAUAUCCUUGUUAGUGUUAGGUUUAUUUUCUGUUUUCAUCAUUCAAUUGGGUCACCUAGCUUUAGUCGAACGUAGUUGCCGUCGCCUAGUCCCUGUGGAGAACACGACAUCCGUAGCUUUGGGCGUAAAAACCCCACUAUACUUUCAAUUGAUCAUUUUGGCGCCGUUGCCGGGGACUAGCGUCGAGUGACCGUGUUAGGCUAUAGACUAGGUUUAUUUUAGUUCCGUGUUUAAUUCGUCGUGUAUUUCAUUUUCUGUGUUUCUUUUAUAUUUUUUUCCUUGCUGUUGCUUCGGCUUAUUAGGAUACUAACAUUCUGACUAGUAUUUACUGUUUAUGAGUGUGCGUAGGAAAUCUGAACUAUUUACAGGUUGAUUGAUAGUUACACUUGGUGGAGAUAUGGCGAUUCUUCGUGAUGUUUGGAUGCCAAGCAGCCAAUGCUAUUUCACAGGGCCACUUUGGCCGUCUUUUGAGGCGGAAAAUUUUGAGCUAAAGCCUGGUCUUAUUGCUUUGGUUCAACAUCAUCAGUUUGGAGGGUUGCCUAAUGAAGAUCCUUAUGAGCACUUGCUCCGAGUCAUGGAGUAUUCAGAUACAGUAAAGUACCAUGGAGUUCCUCAAGAUGCUAUCAAGUGCAUGCUGUUCACAUUCUCUCUCCGAGAUGAUGCUCGUGCUUGGUAUCGAUCCUUGCCAUCAAGAUCAUUCGGUUGGAAUGAGAUAUCACGAGCUUUCUUGGAUAAAUAUUUCCCACUACACAAGCAGUCCGCAAUUCGAGAUGAAAUCUUCAAUUUCGUUCAGCGUGAAGGCAAGAGCUUGUAUGAUGCUUUGGAGAGAUACAUAGCCUUAUUCAGGAGAUGUCCUAAUCAUGGGCUCGAGAGAUGGUUAGAGCUGCAGAUAUUUUAUAGAGGAUUGACUUUGGACACUCGAGCUUACGUCGAUAUGGCAGCGGGUGGAGCUAUUACAAACAAGACACUUGAUGAAGCUUUUCUGCUGAUUGAGAGCAUAGCUUUCCACCAACUUCAGUGGUACAAUAAGAAGCCCACGUCUGAUUCAUUGGUUUGCUUGCAACAAAUCACUACACCUCAGCCACCAAUUCUUACACAGAAGCCUGAACCUCUAUCUCAGUGUGACAAGAUUGAGCUUGCAUGGAUUAUCUUUGACGAUGAUGACACCAUUCUAGUUGACACACACGCUACAGAUCAUAUGGAUACUAGUGUUGGAGAUUCAGUUUUGCAUUGUGAUGAUUCUUCCAUGGAUGAGCCAGAGCUGCAGUUAGUUGUUUUUGAUAUUGAGGAGUCACCUUUAGUUGAUAUUGAUCAUGUGCUGCUAGAGCCAGACAUGGAGAAGUUCACCUUCGAUGAUGUUAGCCGCAUUGCUUCCUCAACACUUGAGCCUGAGAUGGAGAGCUUCAUGGUUGAGUAUGGUGAGGUGGAUUCAGAUGUCAAGGAGCCAAGCUCUACUAUUUCACUUGUUGACACGAGUCCGGUUGAAAUUUCUACUACCACACCUCACUUGGUAUCUUCAAUUGAGGUAGUCCUGAAGCUUCUUCCUAACUAUCUCAGGUAUGAUCUCAGCUUUCUGGACAAGACAUGUCAUAUCGCUGAUAUUGCCUAUGCCCCAUGUGACUUGUUGUUGAUACAUGUUCCUGAUUUGAUCAAUAGAUAUACUUAUAUGAUAGGGUACUCUAUCGAUGACUUAGAGGGCAUUCUCUCUGUCACUGUAUUGGCUUGGUUGUUGAGUGUUCUUUCAGGUUGAUGCUUGUGUACCAUUUACUGCGAGUUAACCGAGUUCGAGAUGACAUUCCCUGGGAUCCUGGUGGAUUCACGGCAUGGUGAUGAGGAGAAGCAAUGGGCACACGCGAAGAAGAGUGAAGCUGGAGCAGGCAUGGGGAUAGAGAAGCAAAAAGAGAAGAGCUGCAGUUUAGAGAGCGUUGAGCGAGUGCUACUUCCUAUAUAAACCCGGUGAGCUGUUUCAUGUCCCCAGUCUGAAUAUAUCAUCCAUUGAUACAUGCUGAAAUCAAUUGCUAUUUGGGUUGCUUGAGCCAUUUCUUAAACGUUGUCCCACUGAAUUUUACCUUUGACAUAUGGUGCUUGAUGUGAAUAUGUAAACCGAUUUGUGGAUGCCUUGUAAACUAGUGAUCUACAUACUGCUUGCUUUGCUGAAAUUAGUGAAAGUUAUUAGUUUUGAGUGCUCAAAUCCCUAGUACACUAGAAAACUUCAUCAUUUUCUGCAUUCACUUUGAUACACCUAGAUCAUCAAUUGUUAGAUGCUGAUUUUGUGCCAAGUGUGUUCCCCUUCAGAGCAAUCAUUCACCACUAUGGACUAGCAUACUAUGUUCCCUGGAUCGGUAGUAUGUGAACCAGACCUGGAUGAGUGAUGAUUCUUGUUUCCUUUUUGUAUUCAUUUGUUAAAAAGGUAAUAAUGAAUAAAUAAGUCUGACUACCUACAGUAGCAUGUCAUGUUCCCUGGAUCGGUGGCAUGUGAAAUCGGGUUAGCUUGGGCAGUAAUUAAUAAUAAAAAUGUAAUUGUCGAACCAGAUGUAUACCAUGUUCUCGGGAUCGGUGGUAUGUUCCUUUGGAGAGACAAACAAAAAAAACUAAUAAUUGGUCAAGCCAGGUGUAUACCAUGUUCUCGGGAUCGGUGGUAUGUUCUUUUGGUGAGAUCGAUAAAAUAUUAUCAUUACUUCCUUCAAAUUCAAUAAGUGCUUCAACCAUAAUGUUAUGUUCCGGGUAAUAAGUUUUUUUUGGGAUCAUGCUCUCUUUAGGAACCCUUUGGCACAAUCAGCAUUUGAACUUGUUGAUCCACUUCUAUCUUUGUAAAAGUUUAAAAUGAUUGAGUUUACUAGUGUCCUAUUGAUAUGUAGCACUGUUAACCAUUAAUUUUCACUAGCCAAGUCCAAAGCAUGCACUGUUUAGAGAUCUACUUCACUUGACAUUUUCUAGUCAGUUCACUGUUCAUGUUCUUGCUCUUGUCAUAUGCCUUUGCUUGAGGACAAGCAAAGAUUUAAGUGUGGGGGAACUUGAUAAGUAUAUUUCACAUUUAUAAUUUUGGUACUCAAAUGUAGCAUCUAUCGUGUUAUAUUCGUCCAUUCUUGCCAUGAUUGAUUGAAUAUUGCUUGAUAAUCAUAAAAAAGGAUCAUUUACUAGUCUUUUGGUCUAUCUUGCAGAAAUGUGCGCAAAGGCACCAAUAAUCGUCAAGAUUCUGUCUAGGUGGUUAUCGAAGAGUGAAGAAAAGAAGAGAAGGAAGAAGAGACUUGUGUGAGAUGAAAAGAAGUAACCAGGGGGCUAGCUAAAGAAGUGAGAGGACCUUCUUGUGAAGAAAGAAGAGAAGGAGGAGGGCUAAUGUGUAAAGUUUGCAGAUCAGGGAGGGGAUCAAAAUCCCUAGAUCGCCUCCAUUCCCCAUCGGGCCUGGCACAUCUCAUCUCUCUCCCUCUUCCCUUCUUCUCCACCACCGGCCGCCGCCACGGCCAGGCCGGCGUGGUGGUGCGCCAACCAGCACCGCCUCCAUCCAUCACCCAGCGCCAACCAGCACCGCCUCCAUCCAUCACCCAACGCCACCACUACUCCUCCUACCUCCAGUGCCUACAUCCACCACACCAGCCGCUCCCUCACGCGCCGCAUCAGACACUCCGGCGCGAGUGUCUGGUCACCCGCGUGAGUGCGCCACCCAACUCCUUCGCCUCGGAUCCAUCUCGCAGACCACCAGUGUGCCACCACCAUCGCCAACUCCCUCUUCCUUCUUCUGCUCUCUGCCUGCUGCUGCUUCUUCCCACGCCCCUGCUGCUGCUUGCUCUCUCAAUCUCUGCUACUACUUCUCCUUCCCUCCGCUGCUUGCUGCUUCUCCCUCUUCUUCAACCUACUGCUGCUUGCCCUCAACCCUCUCUGCUGCUUCUCUCACCCGGAUGCCACUGCUGCUACCUGUUCCUAAGCUCGCCUGCUGCUGCUGCUGUUCUUCUUCUUAUCUCCAAGUCACUGCUGAUCCUUCCCACGCCCAAGUUGCUGCUCCUCUCUCUUGCAACACCUAUUGCUGUUCUUCUUCUUCUCCUAACCUGCUGUUCUUCUUCUUCUCCUAACCUUGCUGCUGUACUUUUCUGAACCAUCUUGCUACUGUUAUUCCCUCUCUUGAUCUCAAAUUUCUGUAAUUUUGAGAAGUUUAUUGUUCAGUACUUUGUAAUAUUCAGCAUUGAGAUGUUUAGUACAAGUAAUAUUCAAAUUUGAUAAAAGCUUGCAACCUGACAAUUGUUCAGUUUCGUACUUGUAAAAUAUAGUGCAUUUUAUUAUGUGCUCUGACUAGUUAAUGUCCAGUUGUUUGGAUAAUACUUAGUAUGUGUGAUAUGCUCUGUGAUAUAGUAAUUUUCUAGUAUAUGUGUGUGUGAUCCCCUAUGUGUAUGUUUCUUGACAUCUACUGUAACCUGUCUGUACUAGUAACUUUGCUAUAGUCUAAUUGAUGUUCAGUUGUUAGUCUUUGUGCUAGCUAUGUACCAGUGGCAUUUAUGCUUGUGAUUUUCCAGUGAACUUGUUUAAUUUCAGUUCAUAUGUUAGCUCAAGUACCUUUGCUAUAUAAAUAUAUGUGUGUGUGCUUGUGAUUUAAAUAAUCUGUUUUCUGUCCAGUAAUUUUGUUUCUUCCCUCUUUCAUACGCUUGCUAGAUAUAUAUGGUCAUGUCUUUUGACUUCCCUUGUCACUGAUGUUAGCCUUUCAGUUUCUAUAAUAAUAUGAAAAUACCAAAACGACAAAGUGAAGAUAAUCUUCAUCCCCCUUUGUUUCUGUGUCAUUUCUUUUGUUGAUAUCCUUGUUAGUGUUAGGUUUAUUUUCUGUUUUCAUCAUUCAAUUGGGUCACCUAGCUUUAGUCGAACGUAGUUGCCGUCGCCUAGUCCCUGUGGAGAACACGACAUCCGUAGCUUUGGGCGUAAAAACCC
rnacentral:lncRNA from 1 species